rnacentral:rRNA from 1 species
GACGAACGCUGGCGGCGUGCUUAACACAUGCAAGUCGAACGGAAAGGCCCUGCUUUUGUGGGGUGCUCGAGUGGCGAACGGGUGAGUAACACGUGAGUAACCUGCCCUUGACUUUGGGAUAACUUCAGGAAACUGGGGCUAAUACCGGAUAGGAGCUCCUGCUGCAUGGUGGGGGUUGGAAAGUUUCGGCGGUUGGGGAUGGACUCGCGGCUUAUCAGCUUGUUGGUGGGGUAGUGGCUUACCAAGGCUCUGACGGGUAGCCGGCCUGAGAGGGUGACCGGCCACAUUGGGACUGAGAUACGGCCCAGACUCCUACGGGAGGCAGCAGGGGGGAAUAUUGCACAAUGGGCGGAAGCCUGAUGCAGCAACGCCGCGUGCGGGAUGACGGCCUUCGGGUUGUAAACCGCUUUCGCCUGUGACGAAGCGUGAGUGACGGUAAUGGGUAAAGAAGCACCGGCUAACUACGUG